rnacentral:rRNA from 1 species
GAUGAACGCUGGCGGCGUGCCUAAUACAUGCAAGUCGAGCGAACGGACGAGAAGCUUGCUUCUCUGAUGUUAGCGGCGGACGGGUGAGUAACACGUGGAUAACCUACCUAUAAGACUGGGAUAACUUCGGGAAACCGGAGCUAAUACCGGAUGAUAUUUUGAACCGCAUGGUUCAAAAGUGAAAGACGGUCUUGCUGUCACUUAUAGAUGGAUCCGCGCUGCAUUUGCUAGUUGGUAAGGUAACGGCUUACCAAGGCAACGAUGCAUAGUCGACCUGAGAGGGUGAUCGGCCACACUGGAACUGAGACACGGUCCAGACUCCUACGGGAGGCAGCAGUAGGGAAUCUUCCGCAAUGGGCGAAAGCCUGACGGAGCAACGCCGCGUGAGUGAUGAAGGUCUUCGGAUCGUAAAACUCUGUUAUUAGGGAAGAACAUAUGUGUAAGUAACUGUGCACAUCUUGACGGUACCUAAUCAGAAAGCCACGGCUAACUACGUG